AUUGAACGCUGGCGGCAUGCUUUACACAUGCAAGUCGAGCGGCAGCGCGGGGGCAACCCUGGCGGCGAGCGGCGAACGGGUGAGUAAUAGAUAGGAACGUGUCCGGGAGUGGGGAUAACUAGCCGAAAGGUUAGCUAAUACCGCAUAUUCUCUACGGAGGAAAGCAGGGGAACCGCAAGGUCCUUGCGCUCGCGGAGUGGCCUAUCUCCGAUUAGCUAGUUGGUGAGGAAAGGCUUACCAAGGCGACGAUCGGUAGCUGGUCUGAGAGGAUGAUCAGCCACACUGGGACUGAGACACGGCCCAGACUCCUACGGGAGGCAGCAGUGGGGAAUUUUGGACAAUGGGGGCAACCCUGAUCCAGCCAUGCCGCGUGC
rnacentral:rRNA from 1 species